rnacentral:rRNA from 1 species
AUGAACGCUGGCGGCGUGCCUAAUACAUGCAAGUCGAGCGAACGGACGAGAAGCUUGCUUCUCUGAUGUUAGCGGCGGACGGGUGAGUAACCCGUGGAUAACCUACCUAUAAGACUGGGAUAACUUCGGGAAACCGGAGCUAAUACCGGAUAAUAUUUUGAACCGCAUGGUUCAAAAGUGAAAGACGGUCUUGCUGUCACUUAUAGAUGGAUCCGCGCUGCAUUAGCUAGUUGGUAAGGUAACGGCUUACCAAGGCAACGAUGCAUAGCCGACCUGAGAGGGUGAUCGGCCACACUGGAACUGAGACACGGUCCAGACUCCUACGGGAGGCAGCAGUAGGGAAUCUUCCGCAAUGGGCGAAAGCCUGACGGAGCAACGCCGCGUGAGUGAUGAAGGUCUUCGGAUCGUAAAACUCUGUUAUUAGGGAAGAACAUAUGUGUAAGUAACUGUGCACAUCUUGACGGUACCUAAUCAGAAAGCCACGGCUAACUACGUG